GAGCAUGAAGGCGAUGGAGAGGGAAACAUACAGGGCCAGAGAGAGGAACAGCCAGCAAAUGGAUCCAUGUGGAUCAUAUGCACUAUCACUAUCAGAUAUCAGCAACGCCAGGAGAACAGCCCAACUUGAAUAUAUUCCCAACCACUUUGGGGGACAGAAGACGGAGCUUCAGGCCAAACUGAGAAUGUCUAAGAAGCGGAGAACUUCCACCAGAGAAUGUCUAAUAAGGGGAAAACUUCCACUCUCGGGAAACUUCCUGUUUCUGAACUGGUUGCAGUUCCUCUGAUUCCACGUGAGGGCGAGUGCAGGAUGAAUGGAGGUCUAUGGAGCUGUACCCCUCAAAAUCCACUUUUC